AGUCUUAGUUCGGAUUGUAGGCUGCAACUCGCCUACAUGAAGUCGGAAUUGCUAGUAAUCGUGGAUCAGCAUGCCACGGUGAAUACGUUCCCGGGCCUUGUACACACCGCCCGUCACACCAUGGGAGUCGGUAACACCCGAAGCCUGUAGUCUAACCGCAAGGAGGACGCAGUCGAAGGUGGGAUUGAUGACUGGGGUGAAGUCGUAACAAGGUAUC
rnacentral:rRNA from 1 species